CGCGUAGGCGGCUGUUCAAGUCAGUAGUGGAAGUCCAGCUUUUAAGGUUGGAAGUGCUAUUGAAACUGAACAGCUUGAGUGCAGGAGAGGUUAUCGGAAUUCCCGGUGUAGCGGUGAAAUGCGUAGAGAUCGGGAGGAACACCAGUGGCGAAGGCGGGUAACUGGACUGCAACUGACGCUGAGGCGCGAAAGUGUGGGGAGCAAACA
rnacentral:rRNA from 1 species